UUAUGUCACAUCCCGGAUUGUCACGUUCCCCGGGCUCGCCAACAGAUCCGCCGUAGAUAAAGAGAUUUCCCGUGUAUACGAAGCAUUAGCUGUACCUACAAAUAGAAUAUAACUAUUAUAAGAAGUACAGAGCUGCUAAAACUGAAAUAUAUAUAAAUAAAAAGUUCCACUGUACAUACAGAUUCUAAAAUAUAAUUCUGACCAUCCAACAUCUAAGAUAUAACCACCUCUCAGAGAGUAACACUAAAUACACUGUAUGUACAUGGCAAUAUUCAAAACUAUUUCUGGUAGGGAUACUUCUUUAGUAAGGUGACCGCGAAAGAUAGGGAUCUAGUUUGCGACUCACUUAUCUUGGUCAGAAGCAGCAGCAGCAACUGACGGCUUUGCAAGAAAAGUUGGCAACAAUGGGUGUAAGAACUACUUCAAAAUAGACUAGUCGUCAGUGGGUACCGUCACCAACUCCAACGGGCUACCCACUAAGUCUAUAGUAUGAGUAAUAAACUGAUAGGUAAAAGGAUAGUAAAAUAAACUGAAAUAAACUCUACAUCUAAAUGCCACUAUACUAUCGUUAUCCAAACCAUACUCUCUGUAGACAUAUAAAUGCAUCAGUAGCCACAAAUCAGUCACAACUGACCCAACCUCAAGGGACCGCCAACUGGCCAAUCUAGCCUGUGCCCAAAAUAUAACGCAUACCACCCACAAGGGUGGCUGGUCCAAGAAAACUGCCCAGACGGGACUACUGCGACAUUAACGUAAGAAAAGACUCACGGAGCGGCACUCGUGGGCACGACCCAACCGAGUCUGCAAGUGUAUCUCUGUCGAGCUCAAUCAGGCUCACACAGACUAUAAUCAAUACAAAUGGGUUCAACUGGUCUAACAAUCAAGGCUCACGUGCCGUCGGCACAAUCUGAUACAAGGUGUAAGAAUCUGGAUCCACUGUCAACCCCGACGGCACCCGAUAGUACAAAAUAGCCUAACUCUGCUGUAAAAGCGAACUCGGCCCCUCAGUACGAGCGUAAUCUCAAUCUAUACUAGUCUAAGUAUCCACGACGCACUAACAGCUAUGAUACACAAGAAAAAUCAGCUCCUGAAGCUAAAUCUGAUAACUUUUCAAAAAGUGACAGGUGUGGGUUAAUAAGUUUUCUCCUAAAUCAAAUUCUAGUUCAGCAAAUAAUAAUCAUCAUAAAUUAGCUAAGCAUAUUUCAAAAAUUAGAUUUCAUCUAUAACAUACAAAUCUACAGUUUGAGCUAUAAAACAUGAUGAUUAUAUGUAAAACUAUACAUCUUGGGGUUUCAUAUGCUUAGGAGGCAUUUUAAAGGCUUCGGACAACAUCAACCCAUCUUAAAUGCUAGUCGAACAACGGCUAGAAGUCGAUAGGAGAAUCCCCGCACAAAACCAACCUCAACCGAAAAUAAACCAGCGGAAAAAUAAGAUUCGGAUCCACUCUGCAGCACUUCUCGGUGCCCAAAUCAAGGGUCCAGAACAACAAGCUCGCAGCUUCAGCCUACAAGGGUUAAACAUGGAAUUUAACACAAUUCCUAAGUCUAAAUGUAGUGAAAUUUCACUCAACUCAUUUCAAAAGGCUAAAGUGCAGUUCCCCACGUUUCUCACCAAAAUUGAGCUCAAAAUGAUUACCAAAAAGCCUUCACACAAAUUCGGACCUGUUAGAACUAAAACCGAGAAGAUCUAGUUCGUCGGAUGCGAAAAUACCAAAAGAGAUCCGAGAAAAAAGAGAAGAAAAAUAAAGCACACAAUAUUUACGUGGUUCGGCCAACGGCCUAUGUCCACGGGUGAAGACGGAGCGGAGAUCUUCAUUAUAAUCAAAGUGGUGUGCAAAAUAUACCUCUCUCAUAAAAUCCUAAUCCCAAAAAAUACACCAAUAUUCUCUCUCUCAUCUUCCGCACUAAACUAAAGGAAUAAAGGGUAUAUUUAUAAUAGUGGUUAAAUCCUAAUACAACUAGGAAUACAAAUCCACUAAGAUUAGGAAUAUUUCGAUAAAUUAGGCAUAAUCUAAACUUAACUUAAUAGGAUAAUUAAAACAGAAUAAGGUUAGAAAACCUUGAGGUACUAGAAUUCGAGACAAAUUUAACAAUCUCCACCUUGGCUUGAAUUCUAUGUCUUCUCCACCAAAAUCCCAAGAGCUUCUGAAGUGCUACUGCACAUGCGAACAAGUUUACGGAAUACUUGACUUUGAUUGCCUAAAAAACUUAAUGAGCAAAUCCGCGGGAUUCUAUGAAGUGCCAAUCUUCUCAUUUUCCAACUAUGCCGCCUUUUUGCAACCUCUGUUGCAUCAAAACGACAACUUGUCGUAGAGCGAAAUUGUUGGAGCGAUCAAACUUCUCGAUCUCAAAUUCGUCGAUGUCUUAAACACCCAAACAAACACUCCGGCUCUAAUACCAGUUUGUUAGAACUAAAACCGAGAAGAUCUAGUUCGUCGGAUGCGAAAAUACCAAAAGAAAUCUGAGAAAGAGAGAAGAAAAAUAAAGCACACAAUAUUUACAUGGUUCGGCCAAUGGCCUACGUCCACGGGCGAAGACGGAGCGGAGAUCUUCAUUAUAAUCAAAGUGGUGUACAAAAUAUGCCUCUCUCACAAAACCCUAAUCCCAAAAAAUACAUCCAUAUUCUCUCUCUCAUCGUCCGCACUAAAUCAAUAGCAGAAAGGGUAUAUUUAUAAUAGUGGCUAAAUCCUAAUACGAUUAGGAAUACAAACCCACUAAGAUUAGGAAUAUCUCGAUAAAUUAGGCAUAAUCUAAAGUUAACUUAAUCGGAUAAUUAAAACAGAAUAGGGUUAGAAAACCUUGCGGUACUAGAAUUCGAGACAUAUUUAACAGGACCCAAUUUCUAGAUGCCCAGAACUUGCAUCAAGAACUUUAGCACUUAAGUAAAUAUGCAACUCAGCUCAAUUUUGAGAAGAUUCAGUAAUGUUGGGUUCAAACCUUUCAUAAGUGAGGGAAGAGCACCUCUAAUUCCAGGAAUUAGCUCUCUACAAAGAUCUGGAUUCAAAAAUCCAACAAGUCCCUCAAAACCUUCAAAAAUUCGCAUAUAAGCUUAGUUAUCUAAAAUCUAAGCUAAACUCACCUUGAGAUCUGUAAUUCAGGUGGGGAAUCCCUUCUAAACCAGUGAGGGGUGAUGGAAAACCAAAUCCAACAUAAAAAAUCCAGCUCCCAAGGCAUUUGGAUCUAGCAAUUCGAGCUUACAUACCUACUUAAAUUGAUGUUGGAAAGGUUCAACACACUCCCCUUUAAGUCCACAAUUCAUGAAACCGAGUUAAUUUCAUAGCAAUUGGAUGCUCCUACACCGCACACGAGCCGAAACUCUGUAGAAUUCUAAGUCCUCAAUGCCAAAAUAUGAAAAUUUGAAUGAGUGGAGGGGGUUUGGUGCAAAAAUGCAAGCUCCCUGUGAAGAAGAGGUGAAAAGACCUCUCAGGGGACGUUCUCCCGUUUUUAUAGAGGUACAGGUUGGGUACAAUAAGCCUCAAGAAUAAGGAAUGUAAACCUGUACUACUGUUGAAAUCCCCACAUUUGGGCACCCAGAACCCAGAAGUGGGCGCCCAGAUUCUCCAGCCUGCACGAAACUACACUUCGGGUUCUCCGCCCAGCGGUCCGCUACUCCGCUAUCCGGUUCCGGCGGAUCUCACCUGCCACGUACACGUGUCAACACGAUUAAUAUUCACGAAGUGAACUUUCGUGCUCAACUUUCGGGCGCCCUAAACUGGGUUUGAAGUGACUUCAAUAUCCCACACAAAGCAUCACUCUGUUUCUGGGCGCCCUAAGCCACUUCUGGGCGCUCUAAACUACCGGAACUUUAGUUUUGGCUUAUUUGAGUGCGCAUAGUUUGUUUUCGCAUCUAUUUCAUGCCAAAACGAUUCCAACUCAUCCCAACACUCCACAGAUGUGUCGACUAGUCGUUGAUACUGUAGUCAUUCCGAUAGCUAAACUCGAGGGACACUACAGUUUAUAACAAUGCCGAAGUUAGUACUACAACUCUAAAUUUUAAAGAGACAAAAUAUAGAAAAUUUUUUUUAAGAGAAAACCGGUAGAUUGUUUUAUUAGGAAAUUAGAACUAUAUCAAAGAUAACAAAAGAGUUAGAUAGUAGACGAACAUGAUUGUAAAGUUGCAUUGGCAACAUUAUGAGCUUCUGUAUUUCGAUCUCUUCUAACAUAGGAGAUAGUAAUUAAUAUUUGGAUGCAGCCGCAAUAAAUUUCUACAGUCGUUAAUAAGAGGAGGAGGGGCCCAAUUUGACAGUGUGUUAGUAGAAAGAAUAGUAAAAGCCUCAUUCCAAGCAACAGUGUAAAUAGUAGUACUAAAAGCUGGCCAUGAACUAACAAUUUGAAGAGCCCGUAAGAUAACAUUCAAUAUUCCUUUGGCAGUCGAGCUGGCAUAAUUGAACUCGCUAACAUUAUUGGGGCAGAACUUAGUUGUACCAUGAAAGAUCAUCCCAAUCCCACAUAAGCCAACAUUCCAAGAAGCUACAGUCCAAUACUCUAUAUCACAGUUAAUUCGCACUGCUGCUUUUGGGAGUUGUAUGUGCACAUUUGAGGCUUCAUAUUGUUGGGAUGCUCAUUUAGAGAUUCAAAUAAUUCUUUGGCCUUACUUAUAACAUUGGUAAUAUUAAGUUGGUGUUGUCAAAAAAUCACAUCACACCGUCGUUUCCAAAUAUGCCAGCAAAUAAUAAAGAUUAGAAAAUUAUCGUGUUGAUAAUAUAAAAAAUCCUUGGAAAAAAAGCACCCAAUCAAGAAGGAAAUUGGGCUUAGAUUCAAAUUUGUGACAUACUGGACAAACCAUCCAAAUUGCUCGAGAGAAAUCACAAAAUAAUAGAAGAUGUUCAGCAGUUUCAUUAUGUAAGUUGCAUAGAGGACAUACCAAAUCCCAAGCAAGAAUUCUUUUUUUGAUAGCCACAUUCGUAGGCAGUGCCCGUACAAAUGCUCGCUAAAGAAAAGUUUUAAUGUGAGGGAUGAUCAAGGGGCAUUUCUAGAUGCAUUCCAGUGCCCUCGUAAUAUGAUGUGUUCGAGAAUAAGAUGGCCUAUCGAUAUAGCUGGCAAGAAAAUUGUAAGCAAAUUUAGUAAUUAAACUUCCUGCAUCCAAAAAUUUUCGAAUAAGCUUAUCUCGUCCUUCGGUUACACACAUUGGAAGUUUUAUCCGAAUAAUUUCAUUCAUCGAAAAAGGCUCGAAGAUUGAAUACAGUGUAACAAUAUCCCAUUGUCAAGUACUGAUUAGAUUGCUAACUUUAAAAGUAUUUUUUGGUAACUGAAUAUUAGUAAGAGAGGGAGUUGCAGGGAUCUAGGGAUCUUCCUUUAUAAGAAUAGAAGUGCUACCAGCAAUUUACCAUACAUGUCCUCAACUUAUCUCUCAUAUUAAAAAGAGCCCCCCAAUGAUUUGUAGCGGCCUAUGAUUUUGUUGCCGAUCAAAAAGAUUUCGAGCUAAAAUAUUUAGCUUUCGUGAUUUGAGCCCAAAGAGUAGAAGAUUUAGAAAGUAUGAGCCAACCCAUCUUCAUGAUAAGAGCUUUGUUGACAUAAAGCGGGUCUUUGAUUCCAAGUCCGCUAGCAUACAUAGGACGACAAAGAAACUACUAAGAAAAGUCGCUUAUAAGUUUGGAGAUUUCCUUUAUAGUCUCGUUAGGGAGCAAAGUACUGGACAUAGAAAAGAUGGGGAUGGAAGAGAGUACAAAUUUGAUCAAUGUGAGGCGACCAGCAUGUGAGAGGAAUUUAGAUUUCCAUGUGGCUAGUUUAGAUUUAAACUUACUAACAAAAAAACAAUGAGUAGAGGCCUUAAAGAGAGGGGCCAGAAGCGGGUUUUCUAGGUAUUUGUUCUCGUAACACAUACAUCGAAUUUGAAAAGUGUCAGCAAUAUCCUUUUUAAGUUGUUCAUUGACAUUGCAGCUAAACCAUAUAGCAGAUUUGGAGUAAUUAAUUUGCUGUCCAGAAAUAGAGCAAUAGACCUCUAGAGCUAACUUGAUAGCAGAAGCCUCAUCGAUAGAUGUAGUACCAAAUAGUAUCAGAUCAUCAGCAAACAUAAGAUGGUUUAUAGGGGGACCAAAUUUGUUUAGUCUGUAGUCUUGGAUGACGUGAAGAAAUUGAAGAUGGGGUAGGAUUUGAGAUAAAGUUUCAGCUCCAAUCAAAAAAAGAAAACAUGUAGAUUUAAGGUAGGAUUUGAGACAAAAUGUAGAUUUUUAAAACAUAGGAAGGUAAAGUGAAAAUUGUAUAUUAUAGAAGUGUUUUUUUUUCUUAAUUUGAGCCACUAAUAAUUAUUUAGUAUGAAGAUUUUUUUUUAGUUAUGAUUAAAAUUUAGAAGUUUGAUUUUUUGGUCAAUUUGCAUAAAAAAUCUACUAGUUUUGAGAUUUUGCAAAAGUGGGCCACUAUUUUGGAUUCUGCAGAUUCAGUCUGAAUUUUUAGAAAAUUGAUCAAAAUACCUUUAUUUUUUUCUCUCUCGCUCUUUGUUUUUUAUCUCCAACCCUCAUUGCCUCCUCUAUCAUCUCCACGGCCCUCAAUGAAAGUAACGACGGCGGCACCGCCUCCUCUUCCUCCGCCUCCACUGACGCUAGUGCUGAAGGAGGAGAACUCGGAGCUAGUGUGGGUGAGGGCGAAGCAAGCGGAGGCGAUGAAGUCGUGACCAAGGUAGUGCUCGUUGUCGCCCAUGAGGGUGAGGACAAAGACGCGCCCGCGCUUCUCCAAGGAGCGAAAAAAGAUGUAAAGGGUAGAAAAAGUAAAAUAUAAAAAGAAAAAAUAAAGAAAAAAUAUUUUUUUCCUCCUCAAAAGACCAUUUUGUAUAGUUGCUACUACAGAAAAGGCCAAGAAGAAAAAAGAAGACGAUAUCGAACUGCUCAGAUAAAGUUGCACUGUUUCAAAAAAAUUACACUGUUUGAAACGAACGUUGCACUAUUUGAGACGAAAAUUAUACUCUUUGAAAUGAAAAUUGCACUUUUUGGACUAAAGUUAUACUGUUUGAGCGAAAAUUGCAUCUACAGCCUCUUCGCCAUGGAGAGGCCUUCUGCUCCAUCACGGUCUCAAAGCGGCCCUUCCUAGCCUCCCUCCUCACUCUCCUUCGCAUUCCAGGGGGGCCCCACCCGCUUGAUCAAGGAUGUGCUCAAGGCGCUCUGCAUUUGGCAACUGCACUUAAACUGAUCCUUUUAGCAAUAAUGGAAGCACUCCAACUCAGAUAAUGAAUUCUUUUGUCUAACUCGGCUCUGCAUUCAAACUUCCUAAGUCUCGUUCGAGAUAAGCGCUGCCAUGACUGCCUCUACACUUAUGGUCUCCGUACUAUAAAGCAAGGUCACUAGAUACUCUUUUGCCAUCAUAGCGUAUUAUCCUCAUCAUCCAGGUUGACUCGAAUAUUAGUCAACUAGGCCACCAUCUUAGUGAACUCAUUUAGGUGUUUAUGUAGACUCGGCACAUCAUACAUUCACAGUGUGUGUAGCCACUCCUUAAGAUACAAUUUGUUCAUUCAGAAUUUGGUCAUGCACAUUUUGAUCUUCCAACUUUUUCCACAAUUUGUUGAUUUUGACUCAUCGGCUAUAUUGUAAAGAACUUCAUCCGCUAACAAUUAAUAGUGAAGCAUACUUGGUGCCUUCCACUUUAUCUUCUUUGAUGUCGCGUGCAUGACCUCCACUAGCCGCUCAACAUCUGGUCCAACUUUUUUUUGUAUCAAGAUUGCCUAAAUUUUAAUAUAGCUGAAAUUGUUUUUACCAUCAAACUUAUCUAUUUGAACUUUGUUGCCAUCUUCAUUGAUCUCUUCCAAAGAUCAAUAACUUUAUACUCUAAUACUGGUUGUUGAGAAUCCACAAUCCACUUUGAUACUAAUUGUUGUAGAUCUAAUGCUAUCUCUCACAUUGGCUUUCGGGAUUUCACAAUGAAAGCAUCAAAUCAGGUUUACCUUAGCAAAAGCUAGUACAAUUAUAGCAGAAAGAAAAUUUACGAAAAAAAUAUCAAUAAAAUAAAAUUCACUAAUCAAAAAAAGAAUUACACCUAACUUUUUUUCAACACAGAAUAUUUCAGUCCAAGCCUAUUUUCUAAAUCUCUCUUAUUCUCUUUUGUCUCUUUUAUCUCUUUAGAAAAAGACUUCUCCUUUUCUCUCUCAUAAGUAUAGGCGCACUAGAUGCAUGCAAACUUAAAGUCACUCUCUCCCCGCACAUCACAUGUGCAUGUAUGUAUAUAUAUAUGAGUCCGGCUACUAUACUAUAGUAUUAAGCUCUUGGUGCUAUCAAGGUUUCCGCCGCUAGAUCUACAUCUUUGACCAUUUUCACCCGUUAGAUCAUACUAUUCAACUAGCCACCUACUCAACCCUAGUGGAUUACUAUCAUCCUGACCGGAGACCACUAUCAUCUUAGCCGCACAUCCCUUCAUCCAUGGUCCGAAACCUAAUAACACUAAGUACUUGAUACUAUUAGUUGUAUAGUAGCCUAAUUCUGUAUCUAGAGAGAGUUGAGUAGAAUGCUAUUAGUAGCAAACUGGCUCCAUUGCCACCCAUUUAUUUUUGACGAUGGAGCCUCCAAAUCGACGAUCAGCACUAUUGAAUAUGAUCUAUACCAUUCACUACAAUAAAAAUAGUGUAUAACGAUACUUUUAAAUGUCGGUACAAGAAAAAAAAAAUGUUGCUGACUAAAUUACCGACACUUUUUAAAAGUGUUGCUAUAAGUGGGGUCGCUAUAUGUAGGGCCGUUUUGAUGUUGGCACUCACUCCUCUAGCGACCUGUGGCGGAGGGACAUUGGAGAUCGUAGCUCUCUACAGUCCCUGCGGUUAGAAUGAUGUGGGCCCCUUAGGAUUGAGUGGGUAGUUUGUUGAAUAGUAUGAUCUAAUGGAUGAAAAUGAUUAAAAACAUAGACCUAGCGGUAAAAAAUUUACAAGCACCAAAUAUUUUGUGCUUUUACAAGCACUAUAGCCGGACUCUCUCUCUCUCUCUCUCUAUAUAUAUAUAUAGAGUUAGGCUGCUAUACUAUCGGUAGCACAGAGACCUCCGUGCUACCAAGUUGAUUUCGAUGAUGUGGCUUCUGAAUCGAGAAAUUAUAAUUUAACUAUAAUAUAUAGAAACAUUAAAAUAUACGGAAAGACCAAUACAAUAAGAAAUUCUGCUCUACUUUAAAUUUAAAUCGAGAAAUAAACUUGUAGAUUUAAAUUAUCAUCCUUAUCUAAUUAUAAUUUAACUACAAAUCCAACUAAAUCGCACUACGCACGCCUCCGCCAACUGCAUUAAAAAAAAUUCACCUGUUAGAACGUUUUAUCAAAACGCCUAAAAGACGUUCGAUCUCAGCCCAGAUUAGCCGCAAAGAUUUGAAAGGCCAGCCAUUUAUGGUUUGGUCUUAGUUUCAAGCUUUGAGAACGCAACUUCGAAGUGUACUCAACAGGCUUCUUAAUUACUGAAGUGUAGAGUUUCGAGUAAUAAAGAAAACUCGAUCGAACCGUUUUCUCUCUGAUCAAUGCUUAAGACAAAGUUAAAAAAUUUUCGGUCUUAGAAAUUCGAUAGGCGGACAAAUCAAAACACGACACGUGCCCAAACAGUAUUUGCAGACUAAUAAAAACCAUGAGGUUUUGCUAAAAGAAUUGUCAUCUCUAAAAGUAGGCAUCUGCCCUAUUGAUAAGAUGUCAACAUCGAAUCCCAAAAUUUCCGCAAAGCUAUAGAUGUACGGACAGGGACUGGUUUGGCAAUAGAUUAAUUUAUGGCAAUGGAUUAAUUUAAUACAGGUAUUUAUAAAUAUAGAUAAAGUUUAACUUUUAUAUGUUAUCUUUUCAAAAGUUUUAAUAUUUUUAAAUAUAUUCAUCUGAUUUGUUAUCGUUAAAGCACUAUCUAUUUUAUAAGUGAAAUGAUCUUUUUGUCAUUAUAAAUAUGUCCCUCAAAAAAUUCCAACGUUUGUUAAUUAAAAAAGAAUAAAAAUAUCAAUUCACUUCAUUAACUAACUAAUUAGGAUUAAAUAUUUAAUCUAUGGUUAACUAAAAUUUUCUAACAGAUUCUAACUGUAGGGACAUAUUUGAAAACAUUAGGAUUUUUAUAGAAACAACGCAUGAAAGUUGAAUUUUAUAGAAAUAUAUUUGUAAUUUACUAUAGGGUUAAUAUUUACAGGAACCUGUAUGCAAUUAACCCGUUGGCAAUU
rnacentral:lncRNA from 1 species